AAACUCCCACAAACCAUCGCGAAUCUUACCCGUACGGUUGCCUCGGCGCUGGCGGUCCGGAAAGGCCUUCGGGCCCUCCCGGAUCCUCGGGUCUCCCGCUCGCGGGAGGCUGCCCGCCGGAGUGCCGAAACUAAACUCUUGAUAUUUUAUGUCUCUCUGAGUAAACUUUUAAAUAAGUCAAAACUUUCAACAACGGAUCUCUUGGUUCUGGCAUCGAUGAAGAACGCAGCGAAAUGCGAUAAGUAAUGUGAAUUGCAGAAUUCAGUGAAUCAUCGAAUCUUUGAACGCACAUUGCGCUCGCCAGUAUUCUGGCGAGCAUGCCUGUUCGAGCGUCAUUUCAACCAUCAAGCUCUGCUUGCGUUGGGGAUCCGCGGCUGUCCGCGGUCCCUCAAAAUCAGUGGCGGGCUCGCUAGUCACACCGAGCGUAGUAACUCUACAUCGCUAUGGUCGUGCGGCGGGUUCUUGCCGUAAAACCCCCCAUUUCUAAGGUUGACCUCGGAUCAGGUAGGAAUACCCGCUGAACUUAAGCAUAUCAAUAAGCGG
rnacentral:rRNA from 1 species